rnacentral:rRNA from 1 species
UACGGGGGGGGGCAAGCGUUGUUCGGAAUUACUGGGCGUAAAGGGCUCGUAGGCGGCCAACUAAGUCAGACGUGAAAUCCCUCGGCUUAACCGGGGAACUGCAUCUGAUACUGGAUGGCUUGAGUUCGGGAGAGGGAUGUGGAAUUCCAGGUGUAGCGGUGAAAUGCGUAGAUAUCAGGAGGAACACCGGUGGCGAAGGCGGAUCUCUGGGCCUGUUCUGACGCUGAGGCGCGAAAGCUAGGGGAGCGAACAGG